rnacentral:misc_RNA from 1 species
CAACCAUCAAGCCUGGCUUAUUGUUGGACCCCUUUGCGACUGAAAUAUGUGGCAGGUCCGAAAGAUAAUAACGGUGUCGUGUUUGACCCUAGAUGCAACGAGCUUUUCAUAGCACGCAUUGAAGUGGUCGACCGACCCGGUCUUAACCAUUAUUUUCUAAGGUUGACCUCGGAUCAGGUAGGAAUACCCGCUGAACUUAA